UGUAAAGUUCAAGCUCCGAUAUGUGAGGGCGAAACCGCGAAUGGCUCAUUAAAUCAGUCAUAAUCUACUUGAUUGUUAGAGGUUAUAUGGAUAACUGUGGUAAUUCUAGAGCUAAUACAUGCCGAGGCGGGCGACCCGGGUGGGGCAACUCACCUGGGAAGCCCCGCGUUUAUUAGACUAAGACCAAUGUCCCUUGUGGACAACUUUUGGGUGACUCUGAGUAAAUAACGGGUGCAAGCCCGUGAAGCCGACCUGGCAUCUAAACCGAGCAAUCGGGCCAGGCGAAUCAAUCGAGUGUCUGCUCUAUCAACUGUGGAUGGUAGGGUAAUUGCCUACCAUGGUGAUGACGGGUAACGGGGAGUUAGGGCUCGACUCCGGAGAACAAGCCUGAGAAACGGCUAGUAGGACUAAGGUCUGCAGCAGGCGCGAAACUUACACAAUGCUAGAUUAUAAGUUAGCGAUGUAGUGAAGAAAAAUAACGAUGUGCUUGCAUUUAAACAUGCUUGCACAAUUGGAAUGAGACGACUCUAAACCGGUCAGUCGAGUAACAAAUGGAGGGCAAGUCUGGUGCCAGCAGCCGCGGUAAUUCCAGCUCCAUUAGCAUACAUUAAAGUUGUUGCGGUUAAAAAGCUCGUAGUUGAAUGUAGUUGUUGCGCGUUUGUCGCUGGGGCGUUAAGCGGAGCUUCGGCCUCGUGUCUCAGUCGGCAAUAGCGCAGCGAGUUUCGUCACUUAAUCGAGUGCGAAGCGGGGCAGGCUAACAAGACUUCGGUCUAGCUAACUUGCCGAGUUUACCUUGAGAAAAUUAGAGUGCUCAGAGCAGGCAGUUGGGGUGUAAAAGCUCCUUUAUGCUUGAAUAAUGUUGCAUGGAAUAAUAGAAUACGGCCUCGGUUCUAUUCUGUUGGUCUUAUAGAACAACAAACAAGUUGGUGUUGUCGUUAAAGGUUCUGUUUGAGUGUGUCUUGGAAGGACUUGUUGCCUGGGGGUAAAACUUCAGUGCCAACCAACCUUGACAUAAAAAGCACUCUCGCAAAGCCAGACAUGCAUCCAACUGAGGCAAUGGUUAAAAGAAAUAGUCGCGGCGGCAUCAGUACUGCAUCGUGAGAGGUGAAAUUCUUAGACCGAUGCAAGACUAACUGAAGCGAAAGCGUUUGCCGAGGAUAUUUUCAUUAAUCAAGAACGAAAGUUAGAGGUUCGAAGGCGAUCAGAUACCGCCCUAGUUCUAACCAUAAACGUUGCCAACUAGCAAUUGGGUUGCGAUUCCUUUAGUGGGCGCCUAAAAAACGCCCACCAUUAUGAUCCACCCAGCGGCUCUCGUAGGGAAACCAAAGUGUUUGGGUUCCGGGGGAAGUAUGAUUGCAAAGUUGAAACUUAAAGGAAUUGACGGAAGGGCACCACCAGGAGUGGAGCCUGCGGCUUAAUUUGACUCAACACGGGGAAACUUACUAGAUUAGAACUCUGGAAUGAUUGACAGAUUGAUAGCUCUUUCUUGAUUCAGAGGAUGGUGGUGCAUGGCCGUUCUUGAUUCGUAUUCCGAAACGUCUGCUUAAUUGCGAUAACGAGUGAGACCUCACCCAACUAACUAGUGCGCGGUUGCGAUGUUGGAGCGUUCACGGCGCGGUUGGAUCCCGGGUUAGGUGGUGGCAACAUCGCCUGGCUCGCCGACUGCGUUGCUCUCUUCUCGACCCGUGACUUCUUAGAGGGAUAAACGGUGUUUUAGCCGUAAGAAACGAGGCAAUAACAGGUCUGUGAUGCCCUUAGAUAUUCUAGGCCGCACGCGUGCUACAAUGGCGUGUGCAGAGAGCUUGUUCGAGGUUCGUCCAGAGAGAACUAGUGGUUUGGCUGAUAGUGGGGCAACUCAUUGUUGGUCGACUGCCAAGUGACUUUGGUUAGCGGGCCGAGAGAAACCGCGGCCGAAAGGUCGCGGCAAUCAGAAAUACACGCCGUGAUUUGGGAUUGGGGAUUGCAAUUGUUGCCCAUGAACGAGGAAUUCCCAGUAAGCGCGAUUCAUCAUAUCGCGUUGAUUACGUCCCUGCCCUUUGUACACACCGCCCGUCGCUACUACCGAUUGGAAGUUUUAGUGAGGCAUCUGGACUCGCCGGCCACGGGAGGAGCAAUCCUCCUCGGCCUGGAGGGGAAGUUUGUCGAACUCAAAUUUCUAGAGGAAGUAAAAGUCGUAACAAGGUUUCCGU
rnacentral:rRNA from 1 species